GAAAUAAUUACCUAUGUAUUAUUGCAGCGUCAUUGUACAGGUCAUGUUUGCAAGGUACCAGUGUGUGGUAUGUCCCACACAAUGUUCCUGACAGACAUUUUUGGUUUAUAUACCCCGGCAAUGUGUAAUGGUUACAUUAUGCUCUUUCGAUAGCAUGGGACUCCUAUAUUGCUUCUGAAGUCUUAAAUCCUUACCUUUUAUGAGACCUGGCAAUUCAAGGGAAAAGUUGUACAUUUUCUUUUGUAGCUGACAUGGACAUAUUCACUGGAGAGGCCAUCGAUGUUGUCAUCGGAUCCUCAAGAGAUGACGGAAAGGUGUAUGCUGGAUCCGGGCAAUGAAUAGAAAAGGCUGCUUGGGGGACAUUGUUGCGGUCUACGUCUGACUAUGUUCUGCCGUAUGGCGUCCACAACGUAUUGGAUGCCAGAUGAGCUUAAGAACAGAAGCGUGACCGGGACUUUGUCCAACAAGUCGCGAUCCAAGGGAAGGACUGAGGCCAGACCAGCCGUGACACCACAAAAGUUGUCAUCCUUGAAAAGCCUCCUCCGGAUCUUCAUGGGCAACCGUGUCAUGCCGGAAGACGAGAAAAAAAAAGAUUGAAAGAAGUGCGCAGGCAAUUGGUGCAGAAACUCGCUGACGCGCAAAGAAGGUAGUGCUACUGGUACUGAUUGCUACGGGGCUUGUCCCAAAAGUUUGUGCACUGAGCCAGCAAAAACGCGGCAGAGAAUGUAGUGACAUGAACUGCUCAAACUUCUGGGACAGACUUUGUAUAUUUACCUUACCAGCUUAGCACUUCUACCUUUCUUUGUGGAGUUAGUGCUUACCGUAUUUACUAAAAAAUAGGUCCAACAUGAGUAUAGGUCGACCACUAUAUAUUGAAUUAGUUGAGAAAUUUAGAAAAUUUUAGUUUGAAUUAAGUCAGCCAAUAUCUUUCUUUAGCAGUAGUAGUGUAAACUUAA